UACGUAGGGUGCGAGCGUUAAUCGGAAUUACUGGGCGUAAAGCGUGCGCAGGCGGUUUUGUAAGCCAGUUGUGAAAUCCCCGGGCUCAACCUGGGAAUGGCAUUUGGGACUGCAAGGCUUGAGUGCGGUAGAGGAGACUGGAAUUCCUGGUGUAGCAGUGAAAUGCGUAGAUAUCAGGAGGAAUACCGAUGGCGAAGGCAGGUCUCUGGGCUGACACUGACGCUCAUGCACGAAAGCGUGGGGAGCGAACAGG
rnacentral:rRNA from 1 species